AAAAGAGUUCAUCUCAGAAAUCUGUUAUGUAACACAUCUUUAAAGAAGCUAUUUCUCUCUAUGUCUGGCAGCACCCGUUGCCAAUCGAGACAAGAAAGGAGCACUUCUGGGAAGGGGAUGCACUGGUUCUGCUCAGCAGAGCAUCCGGAGAGGAGCACAGAGUCUCUCAGGAAAAGCCUGAAGGCUUUCCGCGAGGACAUGGGACACAUCAAAUGAUGCACAACAUACAGACAGAGCCAUGAAUCCACCUGAUCUUCACUUUCUGACUUCUUCUGAUCUAAUGAAAAUGCUAAACAAGGCAGGAUUUGCUAGGACCUUUCUGAGAGCAUCACAGACCCGAGGCGGACACCUUGGCUGGGCUGGGCCGGAGCCAACGAGCAGGGGGUGAAAACUCCCCAUUUCACGACAAACCUCUGCAGCCAUCCCAUCCAUCCUGUCAGCACAACGUUGGAUUCUGCUUCGGGGAGCCCCUUCUUCAUCCUUCUUCAAAGAAAGGUGCGUUUCCUCCUUACCAGGGUUCUGUGAGAAAGAAGAGCUACACUGUAAAAAACCACUGCUAUCACUGCUAGAUAAAAACAACCGUGUUGUUUUAAAGGAAAUAAAGCACAGAACACAA